UGAGUCCAGCCUCAUCAGGUUCCUCAGAGUCCAAGUUUGGUCACACUCAUGGACUAAAAGGCUCUUAAUAGAAUUUCUAAUUCUUCAGGGGAAGCUGGCAGGACCACUCAGAUGCUGUCUGGGUCCUUUGUCUCCUCUUUUCAGAAGGGUAUUAAGUGUUAAGCUUUCAAACCAGUCAAAGACUCUGGGAAAGAGCAGGUGACUUCCCCUUAGCUUUGGAAGUGACCUGGUUUCU
rnacentral:lncRNA from 1 species